UUAGUGGCGGACUGGUGAGUAACACGUAAGCAACCUGCCUGUUAGAGGGGAAUAACAACGAGAAAUCGUUGCUAAUACCGCAUAUGCCAUAUGAACCACAUGGUUCAAGUGGGAAAGGAGUAAUCCGCUAACAGAUGGGCUUGCGUCUGAUUAGAUAGUUGGUGGGGUAACGGCCUACCAAGUCGACGAUCAGUAGCCGGACUGAGAGGUUCAACGGCCACAUUGGGACUGAGAUACGGCCCAGACUCCUACGGGAGGCAGCAGUGGGGGAUAUUGCACAAUGGAGGAAACUCUGAUGCAGCAACGCCGCGUGAGGGAAGACGGUCUUCGGAUUGUAAACCUAAGUUAUCAGGGACGAUUAUGACGGUACCUGAAGAGAAAGCUCCGGCUAACUACGUGCCCAGCAGCCGCGGUAAUACGUAGGGGGCAAGCGUUGUCCGGAAUGACUGGGCGUAAAGGGCGUGUAGGCGGCUUUUUAAGUGUGAAGUGAAAGUCCUGCUUUCAAGGUGGGAAUUGCUUUGCAAACUGGAGAGCUUGAGUACGGAAGAGGUAAGUGGAAUUCCCAGUGUAGCGGUGAAAUGCGUAGAGAUUGGGAGGAACACCAGUGGCGAAGGCGACUUACUGGGCCGUAACUGACGCUGAGGCGCGAAAGCGUGGGGAGCGAACAGGAUUAGAUACCCUGGUAGUCCAUGCCGUAAACGUUGGGCACUAGGUGUGGGGGACAUUCCACGUUUUCCGCGCCGUAGCUAACGCAUUAAGUGCCCCGCCUGGGGAGUACGGCCGCAAGGCUAAAACUCAAAGGAAUUGACGGGGGCCCGCACAAGCGGCGGAGCAUGCGGAUUAAUUCGAUGCAACGCGAAGAACCUUACCAAGGCUUGACAUGAACCGGAAAGGCCUGGAAACAGGUCCCCCACUUGUGGCCGGUUUACAGGUGGUACAUGGUUGUCGUCAGCUCGUGUCGUGAGAUGUUGGGUUAAGUCCCGCAACGAGCGCAACCCUCGUUCUAUGUUGCCAGCGGGUUAUGCCGGGGACUCAUAGGAGACUGCCGGGGUCAACUCGGAGGAAGGUGGGGAGGACGUCAAAUCAUCAUGCCCCUUAUGUCUUGGGCUUCACGCAUGCUACAAUGGCCGGUACAAAGGGUUGCGAUACUGUGAGGUGGAGCUAAUCCCAAAAAGCCGGUCUCAGUUCGGAUUGAGGUCUGCAACUCGACCUCAUGAAGUUGGAGUCGCUAGUAAUCGCAGAUCAGCAACGCUGCGGUGAAUACGUUCCCGGGCCUUGCACUCACCACCCGUCAAG
rnacentral:rRNA from 1 species